AACGAACGCUGGCGGCAGGCUUAACACAUGCAAGUCGAGCGCCCCGCAAGGGGAGCGGCAGACGGGUGAGUAACGCGUGGGAAUCUACCCAUCUCUACGGAAUAACGCAUGGAAACGUGUGCUAAUACCGUAUACGUCCUUCGGGAGAAAGAUUUAUGGGAGAUGGAUGAGCCCGCGUUGGAUUAGCUAGUUGGUGGGGUAAAGGCCUAGCAAGGCGACGAUCCAUAGCUGGUCUGAGAGGAUGAUCAGCCACACUGGGACUGAGACACGGCCCAGACUCCUACGGGAGGCAGCAGUGGAUAAUAUUGGACAAUGGGCGCAAGCCUGAUCCAGCCAUGCCGCGUGAGUGAUGAAGGCCCUAGGGUUGUAAAGCUCUUUCACCGGUGGAGAUAAUGACGGUAACCGGAGAAGAAGCCCCGGCUAACUUCGUGCCAGCAGCCGCCGUAAAAC
rnacentral:rRNA from 1 species